GGUUCAGUGGUCUAGUGGUUAUGAUUUCUGUCUCACAAAAGCUUCACCGGCACACAGAAGGUCCCCGGUUCGACCCCGGGCUGAACCA